CCUACGGGAGGCAGCAGUCGAGAAUCAUUCACAAUGGGGGAAACCCUGAUGGUGCGACGCCGCGUGGGGGAAUGAAGGUCUUCGGAUUGUAAACCCCUGUCAUGUGGGAGCAAAUUAAAAAGAUAGUACCACAAGAGGAAGAGACGGCUAACUCUGUGCCAGCAGCCGCGGUAAUACAGAGGUCUCAAGCGUUGUUCGGAAUCACUGGGCGUAAAGCGUGCGUAGGCUGUUUCGUAAGUCGUGUGUGAAAGGCGCGGGCUCAACCCGCGGACGGCACAUGAUACUGCGAGACUAGAGUGAUGGAGGGGGAACCGGAAUGCUCGGUGUAGCAGUGAAAUGCGUAGAUAUCGAGAGGAACACUCGUGGCGAAGGCGGGUUCCUGGACAUUAACUGACGCUGAGGCACGAAGGCCAGGGGAGCGAAAGGGAUUAGAUACCCGGGUAGUC
rnacentral:rRNA from 1 species